GCCGGGCGCACCCGUCCCGUUCGUCCCCGGACGUUGUUCUGUACCCCGGGAACGUCGAGACUGGAGCGCCCGAA
rfam:Callithrix jacchus chromosome 10, whole genome shotgun sequence